AUCUUCGGGGCAGGGUGAAAUUCCCUACCGGCGGUUAUAGCCCGCGAGCUACCUUGUGUAGCAUGAUUUGGUGAGAUUCCAAAGCCGACAGUAAAGUCUGGAUGAGAGAAGAUG
rnacentral:ncRNA from 1 species